AUGAGUAUACUAAGCUGGAACUGCCGAGGUGGGGGCAACCCUCGGACAGUUCGAGAUCUUGUGAGUCUGGUUCAGACUCAUUCCCCUAGUAUCGUUUUUCUUUGUGAGACUAGACAGUCUAGAAAUAAAAUGAAAAGAUAUCGUGCUCGGUUAGGUUUAAGUGGUUUUGAUGCCAUAGAUAGUGUUGGUCUAAGUGGUGGUCUUGCUUUGUAUUGGCAUGAGUCUUUG
rnacentral:rRNA from 1 species